rnacentral:rRNA from 1 species
GAGGAAUAUUGGUCAAUGGACGGAAGUCUGAACCAGCCAAGUAGCGUGCAGGAUGACGGCCCUAUGGGUUGUAAACUGCUUUUGUAUGGGGAUAAAGUCAAUCACGUGUGAUUGUUUGCAGGUACCAUACGAAUAAGGACCGGCUAAUUCCGUGCCAGCAGCCGCGGUAAUACGGAAGGUCCGGGCGUUAUCCGGAUUUAUUGGGUUUAAAGGGAGCGUAGGCUGGAGAUUAAGUGUGUUGUGAAAUGUAGACGCUCAACGUCUGACUUGCAGCGCAUACUGGUUUCCUUGAGUACGCACAACGUUGGCGGAAUUCGUCGUGUAGCGGUGAAAUGCUUAGAUAUGACGAAGAACUCCGAUUGCGAAGGCAGCUGACGGGAGCGCAACUGACGCUGAAGCUCGAAGGUGCGGGUAUCGAACAGGAUUAGAUACCCUGGUAGUCCGCACAGUAAACGAUGGAUGCCCGCUGUUGGUACCUGGUAUCAGCGGCUAAGCGAAAGCAUUAAGCAUCCCACCUGGGGAGUACGCCGGCAACGGUG